AGAGUUUGAUCCUGGCUCAGGAUGAACGCUAGCGGCAGGCCUAAUACAUGCAAGUCGAACGGUGAUAGCAAUAUCAUAGUGGCGCACGGGUGCGUAACACGUAUGCAACCUACCUAUUAUUGGGGGAUAGCCUUUGGAAACGGAGAUUAAUACCGCAUAAUACGAUUGACUGGCAUCGGUUGAUUGUUAAAGCUUAGGCGAUAAUAGAUGGGCAUGCGUCCAACUAGUUAGUUGGUUAGGUAAUGGCUGACCAAGACGAUGAUUGGUAGGGGAUCUGAGAGGAUAAUCCCCCACACUGGCACUGAGAUACGGGCCAGACUCCUACGGGAGGCAGCAGUAGGGAAUAUUGGGCAAUGGGCGGAAGCCUGACCCAGCCAUGCCGCGUGCAGGAAGAAGGCGUUAUGCGUUGUAAACUGCUUUUUUAUAGGAAGAAGGAUCCCUUGCGAGGGAAGGUGACGGUACUAUAAGAAUAAGCACCGGCUAACUCCGUGCCAGCAGCCGCGGUAAUACGGAGGGUGCAAGCGUUGUCCGGAUUUAUUGGGUUUAAAGGGUGCGUAGGCGGUUUAUUAAGUCAGUGGUGAAAGACGGUCGCUCAACGAUUGCAGUGCCAUUGAUACUGGUAG
rnacentral:rRNA from 1 species